CCUACGGGUGGCAGCAGUGAGGAAUAUUGGUCAAUGGGCGCGAGCCUGAACCAGCCAAGUCGCGUGAGGGAAGACGGUCCUAUGGAUUGUAAACCUCUUUUGUCGGGGAGCAAAAGACGCCACGCGUGGCGUUCCGAGAGUACCCGAAGAAAAAGCAUCGGCUAACUCCGUGCCAGCAGCCGCGGUAAUACGGAGGAUGCGAGCGUUAUCCGGAUUUAUUGGGUUUAAAGGGUGCGUAGGCGGAAUGCCAAGUCAGCGGUAAAAUCGCGGGGCUCAACCUCGCUCCGCCGUUGAAACUGGCGUUCUUGAGUGGGCGAGAAGUAUGCGGAAUGCGUGGUGUAGCGGUGAAAUGCAUAGAUAUCACGCAGAACUCCGAUUGCGAAGGCAGCUCACUGGACUGCAACUGACACUGAGGCUCGAAAGUGUGGGUAUCAAACAGGAUUAGAUACCCUAGUAGUC
rnacentral:rRNA from 1 species